rnacentral:lncRNA from 1 species
GGAAGGUUCCAUGACAACAUAAAUUUGACACAUGACAAAUGAUGUGUUAACCUAAGGUAAACGAGUUUCCUUAAUGUAGAACUCCCAGAGCCUUUGGGGCACCUAAGUAGCUCAGUCAGUUAAGCAUUCAACUCGUGAUUUUGGCUUAGAUCAUGAUCUCACGGUUUGUGAGAUCGACCAUGUGAUGGCCUCUGCACUGACAGUGUGGCGCCUGCUUUGGAUUUUCUCUCUCCUUCUCUCUCUGUCCCUCCCUGCUUGCUCUCUCUCUCUCUCGAAAAAUAAAUUUAAAAAAAUUUUUUAAACUCAAGUGGGGGUUGUAGUAUACAGGAUUUUCCAAACUCAGUGAACACCAAAAGCCUUUUGUGAAGAGCAUGUCACAAGAUCCAGAUUCUGCAGAAUAUGCAUAAAGAAACACUUAACUUCUAAAGACAAGUUUGAUUUUUACUUGAUAUUUUAUACUCUUAACAAUUUGUCCCCACUCUAUCUUCUGCAGCUUUUGGAGAUAAACUCUGCCUAACAGAAGCCUGCAGCUUCUAUGCCUUUCUCCCUGCCAUUUCUUUUCGUUGGAAUGAUUUCUCUUCUCAUUCCCUCACUGCUGAUCCCAUUAUCCCUCAUAGCCAAAUUCAGGUUCUACCUCUACAUAGUCUUCCUGACCACCUCUCUAGUAACUUAGGCCUAUUUACUCCUUUGGCACCUGUGAUCACUUGGCAAUUUGCAUUGUCAUUUACCUACAGAAGAGCGUGUUUUACAGUACUAAUAGGGUUUUAUGUUACAUGCUAUCUAAAUUAGAUUUUUAAGUUGAGAUAUAAUUUAUAUACCAUAAACUUCACCCUUUGAAAGCAUACAAUUCAGUGGUUUUUAGUUUAUUUAUAAAGUUGUGGGGCGCCUGGGUGGCUCAGUCGGUUAAGCGGCCGACUUCGGCUCAGGUCACGAUCUCGCGGUAUGUGGGUUCGAGCCCCGCGUCGGGCUCUGUGCUGACUGCUCAGAGCCUGGAGCCUGUUUCAGAUUCUGUGUCUCCCUCUCUCUCUGACCCUCCCCCGUUCAUGCUCUGUCUCUCUCUGUCUCAAAAAUAAAUAAAGGUAAAAAAAAAAAAAAAAGUUGUGCAUCCACCACCACUGUCUAACCCUAGAACAUUUCAUCACUUCAAAAAAGCAAACCUAUACCUAUUUUUAGUUAUUCUCCAUUGUCUCCCAGCCUCUGGCAACCACUAAUUUACUUUGUGUCCCUAUAGGUUUGCCUAUUCUGGACAUUCAUGUAAGUGGGAUAAUAUGUGACUUUUUUUGUCUGGUGUCUUUUACUCAGUACUCAAAGUAAUGUUUUUAAGUUUCAUCCAUGUUGCAGCUUGUAUUAGUAACUGUUCCCUUUUCUGGAUGAAUAAUGUUCCAUUGUUUGGAUAUAUAGUACUAUCAAUUAGAUUGUAAACUCCUCAAAGUAAAAACAAACAAACAAACAAACAAAAACUCCUCAAAGUAUCUCACUUUUUUUAUAUCACUGUCAGGGCAUUAAAGAAAUAAGCUAAGUAAUUCAUAAAUAUUUAUUGAUAGAUUAAUUGAUUAAUAUUGAAAACAGGGAAGGUACUAAAGUGAAAGUGACUUAAUGUUUGUGAUAUAGUUCCUCUUGCCAAAGGGCAGAAACUUGUCUCUAGUCUCUUCUUUCACUUUUUCAAUAUUGAGUUGGUCAUCAACUAUUUCAGACUAGCUCCAGAAUAACUGUAUAAUGAAUCUAUUCUUCCUCCUCUACUGACACUGCCUUAGUUUGAGCUCUUACCAUUUCUCAUCUAUACCGUAGCCUCCUGACCAUACUCCCCUGUGCAAAUCUCUCCCCUGUUAAAUCAGUCUUCCAUUGUGCGACCAAGAUUAUGUUUCCAAAAUACAAGUCCAAUUUUGUAUGUUUGCUUUAUUAAAAGCUUUUAAUGUCAUUUAUUGAUUUAAACUCUAUGGAGCUAUUUUCCCUUCCAUUCAUUAAUUAACUCAACAUUUGUUGAACUACAUAUUUGUUAGUUGCCUACCAUAUAGGUCAGGCAUUGUUAUAAGUAUUGGGGAGAUACGUUCAAAACAAAACUACAACAAAAACACUUAGUUCUUGCCAUCAUGGAACUUACAGACAUUAAUCAAAUAAUCACACAAAUAUAUUAUUAUAAACGCUGUGAAGGAAAAGUCCAGAGGACUAUGAAAGGAAUCUAGUCUGGGAGAUGAAGGAAAAUUUCCUGAAGCAAGUAUAUGAGAACUGAAGAAUGGGUGGCAUUUAAUUAUGUGAUGUUGGAGAAAACAGCUUGGUACAAAGUUUCUGAGAUAAAGGGGAUCCUGGUUCAUUCAAAGAACUGAGAGGCUUAGUGUGGCCAGAGCACAGAUGGGGAAGGGCAGAAAAUUGUUCUGGGGAAGUAGGCAGGGUGCAUAGAGAUUUUUGGACAUGAGCUAAAAAAAGCCAUGGAAGGCCACUGAAGGAUUUUAACCAGGAGAGUGAAGGAAUUGCAUUUUACAAAGAAUCUUCUGGCAGGGCGCCUGGGUGGCUCAGUCAGUUAAGCGUCUGACUUCAGCUUAGGUCAUGAUCUUGCAGUUUGUGAGUUCGAGCCCUGCAUCUGGCUCCAUGCUGACAGCUCAGAGCCUGGAGCCUGCUUUGGAUUCUGUGUCUCCCUCUCUCUCUGCCCCUCCCCCACUUGCUCUCUGUCUCUCUCGCAAAAAUAAAUAAACAUUAAAAAUUAUUUUUUAAAAAAAUCUUCUGGCUACAAUUCAGAGAAUGGAUUGGAAGAAGACAAAGACACGAGUGACUAGGGAGAAAGCAGUUAGUAGACCAUUAUAGUCAUGCAGGCAGGAAUCACAGUUUUCUAUAGCUUGUGCUGGGAGUAGAAAUGGAGAACAGUGGGCAGGUUCAAAAAUAUUUAGAGGUGAAAGUAACAAUUUAAUGGUGGAUUGGAUGGAGCAGGGAGCAUGUGAAUGAAGGAAAUUGUCGAGGAUAAUUGAACUUCCAGUUUAUCCAGCUGGAUGGAUAAUGGUAUCAUUUACUGAAAGAAGAAACUAGAGGAAGACCUUAGAUAUCAAGAAUGUAGUUUUGGAAUAUUGAAUUUUAGGUGCUUUUGACAUAGUUAAAAAGAAACAUUAAGCUGAUAGUUGAUUAUAUAAGUUGAUAUAGGAAGACUGGGUUCAAUUUUUGCUUUUUUUUUUUUUUUUCAACGUUUAUUUAUUUUUGGGACAGAGAGAGACAGAGCAUGAAUGGGGGAGGGGCAGAGAGAGAGGGAGACACAGAACCGGAAACAGGCUCCAGGCUCUGAGCCAUCAGCCCAGAGCCCGACGCGGGGCUCGAACUCCCGGACCGCGAGAUCGUGACCUGGCUGAAGUCGGACGCUCAACCGACUGCGCCACCCAGGCGCCCCCAGUUUUUGCUUUUUGAGCUCAGCCUUCUUCAGUCUUCUUACCCCCAGUUACGGUCUGAAUGUUUGGGUCUCCCUAAAAUUCAUUAUAUUGAAAUGCCCAUAUAAUUCAUUAUAUUAGGAAAUGCCCAAUGUAAUAGUAUUAGGUGGGGAUUUGGGGAAGGUACUUAGGUUAUAAGGGUGGAACCCUGAUAAAUGGGAAUAGUGCUCUUAAUAAAAGAUUCCACAGAGCUCCCUAUUACUCCCCACUCCUGUAUGUGGGUACAAGGAAAAGUCUGUAAGGCAGAAGAGAGCCCUUACUUGAUUCUGUUGGCACCCGGAUCUUAGACUUCCAGCCUCUAGAAUUGUGAGAAAUCCAUUUCUAUUGUUUAUAAGGCACCCAGACUAUGGUCUUUUUGUUAUGGCAGCCUGAACAGGCUAAGACACUCCUAUAUAGGAAUCAUACUAUCUACAACUUAUAGUACAUUAUUGUAAUCACUAAGUUGUAGACAUAAGAAUCCAAUAAUUAUUAUCAGUGUUAUUUUGAGUAAAUGAUAAUUCUUUUAGUUUAUUUAUAUAUUUAUUUGAGAGAGACAGAGGCAGCGUGAGCAGGGGAGGGGCAGAGAGAGGUGGGGAGAGAGAAUCCCAAGCAGGCUCCUCGCUGUCAGCAUAGACCUCGACGUGGGGCUUAAGCUCACAUACUGUGAGAUCAUGACCCGAGUUGAAACCAAGAGUCGGACACUUAACCAACUAGCCACCCAGGAGCCCAUGAGUAAAUGAUAAUUUUUUGUCAAGGUGGCCAAACGUUUAGCCUACUCUUUGUGUGAAGAUCCCCCUCCCCAGAAAGGAUAUUACGUUUGAUACAAGUUAGUAGUGUAGACAAAGGAAUUGUUAGUUUCUUUUUUCUAAAAACUUUCUACUUUAACAAAAAAAUCAUAUCCAUGUAGAUAUUAUCACAAGUAUACAAUAGGCUAAUGAAGUGUAAUACAUGGCAUAUAAUGGGUGUGCAAGAAUAGCUUCUCUUCCCUGUUUGAAAGUUGAGGGUCACCUGGGUGGCUCAGUUGGUUAAGUGGCCGACUUUGGCUCAGGUCAUGAUCUCACAGUUUGUGACUUCGAGCCCCGUGUUGGACUCUGUGCUGACAGCUCAGAGCCUGGAGCCUGCUUUGGAUUCUGUGUCUCCUUCUCUCUGCCCCUCCACUGCUCAUGUUCUGUCUCUCUUUCUCUCUCUGUGUCAGAAAUAAGGUAAACAUUAAAAUAUUAAGAAAGUUGAAACUGACUUUAAAAAAAUUUUUUUAAUUUAUUUUAUUGAAAACAUUUUUAAACAUUUAUUUAUUUUUGAGACCUAGAGAAUGAGUCGGGGGGGGGGGGGCAGAGACGGAGAGAGGGAGACACAGAAUCCGAAACAGGCUUCAGACUCUGAGCUGUUAGCACAGAGCCCAACGCGGGGCUUGAACCCACAAACUGUGAGAUCAUGACUUAAGCUGAAGUCAAAUCCUUAAAUGAAUGAGCCACCCAGGUGCUCUGAAAAUGACUUUUUAGCCAGCCAUUCAUGGGGAGAAAAAAGGUGGUCAAGCAAAGUUUACCAUUUAAAAUAAUUAAACUAUUUAUUUUCAUAUAUUUUAAAUUCAUAAGGUAUUAUAUACAUCUAUAAAGGUGAUAAAAUUGCACAGAACUAUAUACAAUACACGAAUAUGUGCAUAUAAAACUGGUAAAACCUGAAUAAGGUCUGCAGACUAUACCAAUGUCAGUGUCCUGGUUUUGAUAGUUCUAUGACAUGGUACCAUUAGAGGAAGCUUGAUGAAGGGUACAUGUAACCUUUCUGUAUUAUUUUUGCAACUUCCUGUGAAUCUACAAUUAUUUCAGAAUAAAAGGUUCAGUUAAAAGACUCAUAAGGCAAACAAAAGAAAUUUCUGUUAAAUGAUGUUUAUGCCAAAAUGAGAUUUAAUUUUUCCAAAGGUAGGUUCAGGAGAUUUAAUUGAUUUUUUUUAAGUUUAUUUUUUUGAGUAAUCCCUGCACCCAUUGUGGGGUUCAAACUCAUGACCCUGAGAUCAAGAAUUACAUGCUUUUCCAACUGAGGCAGUCAGUAGCCCUGAUUUAAUUGAUUUUGAUUACUAUGUACAAUAUAAAAAAUUUACAAUAUCGAAUAGUAAGGCUAUUAAAACCAUAAAUCAAAAUACUAUGAAUAAGAAUAUAACCUAAGAUACAGUUUUAUAAGAGGCUUUAAAAUUUUUUCUUAUGGAAUAACAUCAAACUGUAAUGUGAAUCUAGCAAUCAUUAUGUACUUGCAUUGGUUUCUUGAUCUCUUUCUUUGAUCUAUGCAAGCAUUAAAAUGUUUUCUUAAGUAAAUUUUAAAAGUUUUUAAAUUUAUAUUUAUUGAGAGAGAGAGAGAGCACGAGCAGGGGACAGGCAGAGAUGGGGGGGGGGAGAGAGAGAGAAUCCCAAGAAGGCUCUGCACCAUCAGCUCAGAGCCCAUUGUGGGGCUGGAACCCAUGAAGUGUGAGAUCAUGACCUGAGUGGAAACUAAGAGCCAGAUGCUAACUGACUGAGCCACCAAAGCACCCAAAAUGUUUUUAUAACUAAGAUGGAAGAAUGGACUUUAUCCUUUCAGUGUGAAAUGUGCUUGUUUUUUUAAUUUAUUUUUAUUUAUUUUAAUGUUUGUUUAUUUUUGGGAGAGAGACAGAGUGUGAGUGGGGAAGGGGUAGAGAGAGAGAGGGACACAGAAUCUGAAGCAGAGCUGGAUAUGGGGCUCAAACUCAGAAACCACGAGACCAUGACCUAAGCCGAAGUCUGACGCUUAACCCACUGAUCCACCCAGGCACCCCAAACAUGUGAUUGUUUUGUUGUGCUGCACAAAUAUACAAUUCUGUUUUAGAUUUAAGCACACAUGGAUUUCAUUUUCCAAUGAAAUGCGGUGGUUUUUAUCCUCAUUCUUGUUGCUUGUUAAAUAAGAAAAAGCUUCUUUACACAUAUAAGAAGUUAAAAAGUAUCAGCAAAAUGUAUAUUGUUCAUUGCAAAAAGUAUCAGCAAAAUGUAUAUUGUUCAUUGCAGGAUAUUCUUCUUUCUCAGAAAUCUAGAACUCAUCUAGCAGCAGAACAGUAAAUCUCAUCCUGAGUAUACUAUCUUACAGCACUGAGUUCUUACUCAUCUUUCCGAGUGAAGUUGUUAGACUGGGAAGAUUCAGAGAAAAGAUCCCUCACCUAGUGAUACACUUGAGUUUAUUAUUUUUUUUCUAAGUUUGUUUAUUUUGAGAGAGAAAGCACAAGCAGGGGAAGGGCAGAGAGAAGGGAGGAUAGAGGAUCCUAAGCGGGCUCUGUGCUGACAGCAGAGGGCCCGAUGUGGGCUCAAACUCACAAACUGUGAGAUCAUAACUUGAGUCAAAGUUGAAUGCUUAACCGACUGAGCCACCCAGAUGCCCCUACAGUAGCUUGGCGUUUAAAGGAAGGGAGAAUUACUAGUAAAUCUUGUCCUGUAGUUUUUCCAGGUGGCUUUCUGUUAAACUUGAAAUUUACUGAUCUUCCUCACUCUCAGGCAAAUAGAAGUGGAAACAUUUUUAAGAUUUUCUUUUGCAGUAGAUUUUAUUCAAAGAUUAUUUUCUUUUAAAUCCACUUAUUCUCUUUACAUGUUUUUAUUUAGCAAAUGACAAGAAUAUUAUAAAAUAUAUAGUAAGAAAUAAUUUAAAAUUAAUAUUUUAUAAUACCUAUCCUAGAGUUGACAACCAAGCUAGCUGGUUCUCACUCUGGUUUAACUUAAGAUACCGGUGCUCCUGGAGUAGUUGGUAAUCUUGUUAUUUUCUGACAUUCUUGUUAACUUGCUAACAUGUUAGGCUAACUACCAGUUUUUUGGACAUUUCUUGUUGCUUUUUGUACCUACACCUAAUUAUAUUUUGGGGGCACUAAGGGACGUGUGAAACUGCUAUUGCUGGCAUUCUUGCAUAUGUUCAUCAUCUUUUCUUGCUUUAUGAAAAUGGAAUGAAAAAUACUACAAAAUCUUAAGCUAAAGGUGUCUUUUUGAGGUUCAGGCAUCCAUGCUAUGACAGACUGCUAACCAUAUGACUCUUUAUCAGAGUAUUUCUUUGCACCAUAAUUUAUAUAUCUUUUGUUUGUUUAGAUUAAGAAUUUUAAGUGCAGUCCUUUCUGGAGGCCAGGAAACAGUUGUCAAGGUCCUUUCCUGCCUCAUACUCUAAAACCUUUAAUGACGCUGCCAUACUAAUGACUUCCUGAUCAAAAUCUUCCUCUUGUUAAAUCAAGAAAAGCAUUCUUUGUACCUAGUGAAAUGUAAUUAUAGUUAAAUUAUACCUCUUUUGAGUUGUUUUGGUUUUUUUUUUACUUAGAUUAAAACAAGCAGAAAGUAAUUUCAGAGAAUAUUUUAAUCACAAGAAUCUAUGAUAGCAUUUACAGGGACUAUUUGUAAACUAAGUAGGGAAGGACAGUGAAUACAAAAGGCCUUGCAUUUUAUUUAUAGCUGAGUAAACUCCCUUAUAAAAACUUUAGAAUCAUAUACUGUUAAACCUGGAAAGUAUGUAUUUAUUUAUUUAUUUAUUUAUUUAUUUAUUUAUUUAUUUAUUUAUUUUAGAGAAAGGGCGAACAAGCAGGAGAGGGGGCAGAGGGAGAGAGAGAAUCUUAAGAUCUUUUUUUUUUUAAUUUUUUAAAUGUUUUUUUAAUUUAUUUUUGAGACAGGGAGACAGAGCAUGAGCAGGGGAGAGGCAGACACAGAAUCCGAAGCAGGCUCCAGGCUCUGAGCUGUCAGCACAGAGCUUGACGUGGGGCUCGAACUCACAGACUGUGAGAUCAUGACCUGAGCUGAAGUCAGAUGCUCAACCGACUGAGCCACCCAGGCGCCCCAAGAUUAUUUUCUAAAGUACCACUCCAGUCAUGUGGCUUCUGGUUAACAGCAUUGAUGGUUGUUUAAUAGUGCAUAUUGUCUGUGCCUACAGAUUUUUUUUUCUUAAUUCCUGUAUGACCUCAAGUCCUUUACUAUUCUCAUUUUUUCCCAACCAGAAAAUGGGGCGUUUGUACAAGUGUGAUUAUCUGUAAUCUCUAAGGCACAGUUGAAACUAUGAAUGGAAUUUAUUUUGUAAGGUCCAUAACUGAAUCUCUUCACUCCUUUUAUUUUUUUAAAAAUGAUUUUUAAAAUUUGUAUUUAUUUACUUAGAGCAGGCACGUACAGGUAGGGAAGAGAGAGAAUCUCAAGCAGACUCCAUGCUGUCAUUGCAAAGCCUGAUAUAGGGUUCAAACUUGUGAACUGUGAAAUCAUGGCCUGAGCUGAAAUUAAGAGUUGGACUUACAACCGACUAAGCCACCCAGGCACCCCUCUUCACUCCUUUUUAGAGCUGACCUAAAAACAAAACAAAACCAAAAAAACCCCAAAACACAUUUAUUGUUGCCCAAACUAAAGAUGAAUAACGUGAAUAUAUAAAGAAAAGAAUUAGCUGAAAUAGUGGGGAUCUCUUACUAGUCAGAUUUAUCCAGAACCAAGCACUUAACAUAGCUAUUUGGUGAUUUAAAUGAGAGGAUGUAUGAAUAAUACAUAAAAAUGUAGAGAAAAAUCUGUAGUUUUCUUUAGCAAAUUUUGUGUAAGGUUUUCUGUAUAUGUGUAAUGCCUUUAGAAAGAAUUUAUAUAAUCACUUUGUUCUGAAGAACAUAGUAUAUGUAAUAAUGAAGGGAAUCGGAAAUGAUAUCAUAUAUUUUGUAUAUAUCUUCCAUAUAAAGUUGUUACAAUCCUAGAUUUUUUUUUACCAGUCUAGCUAAUUAUUUUAAAUCUUUUAUGUUUUCACUUCUCUCAUGUUUCAUUUUCUUGUUGUAAAAUAAAAGAUGGUUUUUAGAUUUUUAUCAGCUAUAAAAUAUGAGGAUCGUAUGUAAUAGCAGAUGUUCGUAGUUAGAGAUCUUCAUAUGAUAGUUAUUUUAGGGGUGACUGGGUGGUUCAGUGGGUUAGGCAUCCAACUCUUGGUUUCAACUCAGCUCAUGAUCUCACAGUUUAGGAGUUUAAGCCCUGCAUUGGGCUCUGCACUGACAGUGUGGAGCCUGUUUGGGAUUCUCUCUCCCAAUCUCUCUGCCUUUCUCUCUCUCUCAAAAAUAAAACAAAUUUAAAACAUUUUUUAAAAAAUGAUAAGUAUUUUACUUGAAUAUGAUGCUCAUGUUGGUUAAGAUUCACACAUUUUUACCUUGAUUUAUAAUUUUGUCCUCUCUUCUCCUAAGAUCUUAGUGGUUCGAUAGCAUCCCCAGAUGUCAAAUUAAACCUUGGUGGAGAUUUUAUUAAAGAAUCUACAGCUACUACAUUUCUGAGACAAAGAGGAUAUGGCUGGCUUUUGGAAGUGGAAGAUGAUGAUCCUGAAGAUAACAAGCCACUCUUGUAUGUAGAAAUAGUAAUAUGUAUUUUUUGACUUUUAGAACUAGUCUGUGGGAUUAUUGUAUUCUUUCAUGUUAUUUAAAGACAAAUAUGGAAAAUCUUAACCUUUUUGAUGUAAGGCUCUAGCUGUUUUUCAAUUUUACUAAUAAUUGGAAAUAUUGAAAUAAUGGGAGGAUAUUUUUAACCUAAUGAAUGGCUAAAAUUGAAUGAAUUAUGGUUCUGUCUCUCUCACACACACACAAACACACACAUGUAUACUCCAAAUGUUAGGGCUUACUUGGGCCUAUAACUAUCUCAAGUAAACAUGCAGUUUAAGUAAAAAAGCAGGGUGCUUGCUGUGGAAAUUCAGUUUAAGGCAAAUUAAAACUUCCAAAAAGGUUAUCACUCUAAAAUCUUUCCCAUAUAGAAAUUCUAGAGCUACCACUAGAAGGACUACAGAGAGUCUUUCACUUUCUUCAUGGUACUUGAAAUUUUUUGAGUGAUUAUCAUUUGCAAAAAAAGUAAAGAAUUUAACAACUUGAGAAGGAACCUGUAGCUCUGUAAAAUUGAGGCAUUAUCAAGUUAAUCUCUGUAAUUACUAGUAGAUUAAGUGCCGAAACAUUCUGUUUCUUAAUAUACCACAUUUCAUCAAAUUUAAGACAAUAGAUUUUAAGAUGCAGUUAUUUUAUGUUUAUCAAUAAGAAGGAAAAAUUAUGUAAGACAGUAUAAAGCUAAGAUAUCCAAGGGCUGUCUUCUUAGUGUAAGAAUAGAUGAGAAAAAACCCACCACACAUAAAGAGGCAGCAAGGAUGUUUGCUUAUCUCAAGUUGGCAAUGGGUGGGGUGUUGGAAGAAAAAUUUUCCCUGAGAAUGGAAACCCCACACCACAUCAUAUAGGAUUGCAGUCUGAAUUAUUAAUAUAGUCAAGAAGGGCUCAAGCAGAGGAUUUUAAAGUUGUCCCAAAGUAGUAGUUCCUCCAGUAGACUGGCAAAUGGAAAGGAGGAUCUUGGAAGCUCUUCGCUUCCCUCCAGGCUAAGGGAAGACACCAGCAAUUGUGAUAAGCAUCCCAAUUUUAGAGAUGUUGAAAUGUUGAAAAUGUACUAUCUUGGGAAUGCAAGCUGGUGCAGCCACUCUGGAAAACAGUAUGGAGGUUCCUCAAAAAACUAAAAAUAGAACUACCCUGUGACCCAGCAAUUGCACUACUUAGCAUUUAUCCAAGGGAUACAGUUGUGUUGUCUCGAAGGGACACAUGCAUCCCCAUGUUUAUAGCAGCACCAUCAACAAUAGCCAAAGUAUGGAAAGAGCCCAAAUGUCCAUCGAUGGAUGAAUGGAUAAAGAAGGUGUGGUUAUAUAUAUGUACAAUGGAGUAUUACUCAGCCAUCAAAAAGAAUGAAAUCUUGCCAUUUGCAACUAUGUGGAUGGAACUAGAGGGUGUUAUGCUAAAUGAAAUUAGUCAGAGAAAGACAAAAAUCAUAUGACUUCACUCAUAUGAGGACUUUAAGAGACAAAACAGGGGCACUUGGGUGGCUCAGUCGGUUAAGCGGCCGACAUCGGCUCAGGUCAUGAUCUCGCAGUCUGUGAGUUUGAGCCCCGCGUCGGGCUCUGUGCUGACAGCUCAGAGCCUGGAGCCUGUUUCAGAUUCUGUGUCUUCCUCUCUCUGACCCUCCCCUGUUCAUGCUCUGUCUCUCCCUGUCUCAAAAAUAAAUAAAAUGUUAAAAAAAAAAUAAAAAAAAAAAGAGACAAAACAGAUGAACAUAAGGGAAGGGAAACAAAAAUAAUAUAAAAAUAGGGAGGGGGACAAAACAGAAGAGACUCAUAAAUAUGGAGAACAAACUGAGGGUUCCUGGAGGGGUGGAGUGGGGGAUGGGCUACAUGGGUAAGAGGCAGUAAGGAAUCUACUCCUGAAAUCAUUGUUGCACUAUAUGCUAACUAAUUUGGAUGUAAAAUUUAAAAAAGAAAAAAGAAAAUGUAAUAUCUGUGGAAUCUGUGAAAUACAGUACUUCAGAUGUAAUGCUUUGUUGACCUAUGGAGACAACACCGUCAUAUUUAAACUUUUCUUAAAUUAUGUUGCAGCUGAGUAUUUAGAAGUGUGUGUCUUUUAAGAACUUUUAUUUUAUAUUAUAGGGAGGAAUUGGAUAUUGAUCUAAAGGAUAUUUACUACAAAAUCCGGUGUGUUCUGAUGCCAAUGCCAUCACUUGGUUUUAAUAGACAAGUGGUGAGAGACAAUCCUGACUUUUGGGGCCCUCUGGCUGUUGUUCUUUUCUUUUCCAUGAUAUCAUUAUAUGGACAGUUUAGGGUAAGUAUAUCUUACUUUAUACAAAAUGAAAUAUUUUAAGAGGUUUGAAAGUAAAAAUAGCCAAAUGUUAAGGGUAAUGCUACGUUAUGUUUGAGAAAUGCUUUACUUAUACCCAUUAUUUCUGUAUUGUUCAUCUCUAGAACUCUUCUUAAUUAAAUAAGCAGGGAGUACCUUAGAUUAAUGCUUUCCAUACUUUUACAUCAUCAUUCACAUAGAAAGUAUUAGUAUUUGGCAACUGGGGUUAAUAGAUGGGACUACUCUCAGCUGAGCAGAAGUGAAUAGUGACUAGAAGUGACCAAAGAGCUGCCCUUGCCUUUUAUGAUUUUCCCCGCGGGAUGAAGGGUUUAAAACACAAUACUCAUAAUGUGUUCUUACCUUUUAUUCAUUUUUUUAAAUAAAUAUUUUAGGGGUACCUUGCUGGCUUUGUUGGUGGAACAUGUGACUCUUGAUCUUGGGGUCAUAAGUUUGAGCCCCACAUUGCCUAGAGUUUACUUGAAAAAUUAUUUUAAUAAAUAAUGACGAGGAUUCCAACAGUAUUUGUUUUUAUAUAAUACUUUGUUCUACUCUCGGGGGCUUUAUCUUUAUUAUCAAAAUACACAUACACACAUCACUCCUUAAUUCCUAGUUUAAGGCGUUAGAGGAAUAAAAAAUAACUUCAUCACAAAAUGAUUCGGAAAUGAAUUCACUUCUCGUUGCUUCUAUAACAAAUUUCCACAAGUUUUGUGGUUUAAAACAGUGAAAAUUUAUGCUUUUAUAGUUCUGGAAGUCAGAAAUCCAAAAUAAGUUCGAAGGAGCUAAGAUUAAAAUGUCAGCAGGGCUGGUCCUGUCUAGACUCCAGGGCACAUUCUUUUGAUUGCCUCUUCCCACUCCAGAGGCUGUCAAUGUUCCUUGAUUUCUGACAGCAUUACUAACAAUCUCUGUUAUCAUGGUCACAUUAACUUCUUCUCUACAGUAGUCAAAACUCCCUCUGCCUCCUUUUAUUUUUUUUUUUAUUUUUUUUUUUCAACGUUUAUUUAUUUUUGGGACAGAGGGAGACAGAGCAUGAACGGGGGAGGGGCAGAGAGAGAGGGAGACACAGAAUCGGAAACAGGCUCCAGGCUCUGAGCCAUCAGCCCAGAGCCCGACGCGGGGCUCGAACUCCCGGACCGCGAGAUCGUGACCUGGCUGAAGUCGGACGCUUAACCGACUGCGCCACCCAGGCGCCCCUCUGCCUCCUUUUAUUAAGGACAGUUGUGAUUACAUUUAGUUCUCAUCUGGAUAAUCCAGAAUAAUCUCCCAAUAGCAAGAUCCUUACUAAUAUUUACCUUAGAUCAGUAGUUUAUAUCAUGUAUUCUGUUGGAAGUGUAAGGUGAAUUGAAGAAGUUGAGUGGGGACGCUGGUCUACUACCUACCACUAAUCAUUCAUCUAGAGCAUCUCUAAUUUUAUCUAUUUUGUAUAAUCUUUGAUUUGAACAAAGGGUUUUUUUUUUUUUUAAACGUUUAUUUUAUUUUUGAGACAGAGAGAGACAGAGCAUGAACGGGGGAGGGUCAGAGAGAGAGGGAGACACAGAAUCGGAAGCAGGCUCCAGGCUCUGAGCUGUCAGCACAGAGCCCGACGCGGGGCUCGAACUCACGGACCGCGAGAUCAUGACCUGAGCCGAAGUCGGCCACUUAACCAACUGAGCCACCCAGGCGCCCCUGAGCAAAGGGUUUUAAAGCUUAAAACAGAUUACUACCUCCAUAUAAUGUUGGUCAAUUUGGUUUUGCUUGAUAUUUUCUCAUGACUAGAUUGGGGUCAUAAAUUUUUAGCAAGAAUACUACUUUGUGCCCACCUCAGUAUACUAUCAAGGAGUAUGUGAUAUGAGUAUCUUUUUUUUUCAAGUUUAUGUAUUUGGAGAGAGAGAGAGCAUGUGAACAGGGGAGGAGCAGAGAGAGAGAGGGGAAGAGAGAAUCUCAAGCAGACUUCAUGCUUUCAGUGCAGAGCCUGACGUGGGGUUCAGUCCCGUGAACCAUGAAGUCAUGACUUGAGCUGAGAUCAAAAGUCAGAUGCUGAAACAACUGAGCCACUCAGGCACCCCUUGAUAUAUCUUAUUACUGGUGCUGUUAACAUUGGUCGCUUGGUUAGGUGAUGAGGUGGUGUGUGCCUAAAUCCUCCACUGUAAAGUUGCUGUUUUCCCUUUUUUAAAAAAAUAAUUUUUUAAAUGUUUUAUUCAUUUUUGAGAGAGAGAGUCCAGAGCAUGAGCGGGGGAGGGGCAGAGACAGAGGGAGACAUAGAAUCUGAAGCAUGCUCCAGGCUCCGAGCUGUCAGCACAGAGCCCAACAUGGGGCCUGAACUCACGAACUGUGAGAUUAUAAUCUCAGCCAAAGUCAGAUGCUCAAUUGACUGAGCCACCCAGGCGUCCCUACUUUUUUCAAUUAAUAAAUAUCUUGUAGACAUACUUGAUGACUAUGCAGACAUCGUGUUUCUCAUCAAACGUUAACCCACUAAUUUUAGUAUCUACAGAUGGAUCUUGCAUGCAGCAAUUAUUACUAUUGUUUACUGAAUGGUAGUUUUCUGUUUUCCUCAUUCCUUCCACAUGUGUUAAUUGGUAUUCUGUAUGGAGCAGCUAUCCCUUCUUUACCAUUGCUUAAUCAUUGAUUGAUUUAUGUCAGUAUGGAACCAUGAAUAUUUAUUUUAUUUUCUGGAUUAUCAUCCAGUGCUAUUGUCACUUAUUUUAUUGCUGAGGUUAUCCCUGCUUUAGCCAAUGAGAGCUUCUUUAGGUUAGCUUCUGUGUCCUUUAGACAUAUUCCCAUCCUUUUUUUGAACAUUUCCUUUCCUUCUAAUUCUACAGAGUGUUCUGGGCUCAUCUUUUAUCUUCCGUGCUCCAUCCCUAGAAUCAAUUACUUAUCAAAAGAAUCCUCGUCCUUUUAUCAGGGAAUGAUAUUUAGAAACCAGGAUCUGGGCAAUAAUUGUGCUUAUUUUGCUUUUGGGGCUUCAUUAUCUCUAGAACCUCGAAGCAGAUGAAACUUAGAAGUGGAGGCAUGUAUCAUUAUUAUAUUGUCUCAGGAGUUAAAAUUGUCUGAAAGUCUUCCACAUUCCAUCACUUAGAUACAUAUGUAAUUAAUGUAAAUUUUAAAGACCUCCCAAGAAGAUCUAUAACUUCUUUUGGUGAUGAAUCUUCCUUGCAAGGUGCUGUAAACCAGAGGUUUACAAAGUAAACACUUUGUUCUUUUUUUGCAUUAAUAUUUUAUAAUAGAUCUUGAAAUACUGAGAUUUCCUUAGGCAAUUGAACAUUGCUAAAUUUUCAGUUUGGAUGUAAAAUUGUAUUAACACAUUGCAUUCUUACUAGGUUUUGGAAAGAUAACUGGGAAUUCAAACUCUAUAACCUGAAAUUGGAAACACCAAGCUGUCUUGUAUUAGAAGAGAAUUGACUUCCUGGGAAAUUAAUCAAUUUUUUGGUACAAAGUUAUUAAUUGCAUGAAUUUUUUUUCCCUUAAGGUGGUCUCAUGGAUUAUAACUAUUUGGAUAUUUGGUUCCCUAACAAUUUUCUUACUGGCCAGAGUUCUUGGUGGAGAAGUAAGUGGUUAAUUUUGAAAAUAGCCUUUGUUUUUUAUCAUAAGCUUUAUUUUUGGUAUUGUAGAUAUCAUCAGUAGCUAUAUAUUCAUCAUAACUAUUUCUUGUCAUGGAAUUGCUUUUAAGUUAUGCUACUUCCUUUAAGAUGAUCAGCAUGUUAGUAUUGUGCAUGCUCAAUAAAUGUUACAAGAAAGGAAGAUGAAAGAAAAGAUCCCAUACCACUCAUAAGUAAUUUACAGCUUUUCAGGGAAGCAUAUAAUUUAUUCUCUAGUACAGCAGUUCUCAAACUUUUUGGUCUCAGGUCCCAAAGAGAUGUCUUUAUGUGGGUUAUAUUUAUCAAUACUUACCAUGUUAGAAAUUAAAAUAAAAAAUUUAAAUAUGUAUUUUUGUUCAUUUAAAAGUAAAUGAAAUACAUUUUAACAUAAAUAACAUGUUUUGUAGCAAAAAAUCUUUUUCAAAACAAAAAAGUGAUGAGUGGCAUUAUUUUACAUUUGUGUAAGUAGCUUUAAUAUCUGGCUUAGUGGAGGCUGGAUUCUCCUAUCUGCUUUCUGCAUUCAGUCUGUUCUGAUAACAUUGUUUUGGUUAAAGUAUAUGAAAAAAAUAAGGCCUUAUACAGAUAUUUAAUUGGAAACGGAAGAGUUUUAUUUUAUGUAUUUAUUUUUAAUAAAUGUUUAUUUUUGAGAGAGAGGGAAAGAUGGCGAGUGGGGGAGAUGCAGAGAAAGAGGGAGACAUGGAAUCCCAAGCAGGAUCCACCCUGUCAGUGCAGAGCCUGAUGUGGGGCUCGAACUCACAAACCGUGCGAUCAUGACCUGAGUCAAGAUCCAGAGUCAGACGCUGGCGCCCAGAAAAGAAAGAGUAUUUUAGUAGCUUUUUCAGAUGAUUGUGGCUAUUCUUCUCUGAUCCUACACCUACGUUCAACAAGUAGUAGUUUCUUAAAGGUUUGUUGCAAUAAGGAAUCUCAAACCCUUUUAAUGAACUUUUCAUAUUCUGUCUCAUUAAAAGUCACUUUGGGUGAAUCUUUUUACCCAUGCAUGAUCAUUUGGAAAAUACUGGUUCACUGGGUGUUGCUGAUCUUCUAAAUGUUGACACAUCUUACUGUACACUAACAGAAAAUCACAUUCUUUAAUAUCACCUCCUAUCUCAUCAGAAAUGUGUGUUAGAAAACUGUUAACCUUACAGUGGUAGACACAACUUUUCCAAAAUUCUAAUGUUUGCUUAAGGAUAGAAUUUUAUCGGGGCGCCUGUGUGGCUCAGUCAGUUAGGCAUCUGACUCAGUUUUGGCUCAAGUCAUGAUCUCAUAGUUCAUGGGAUCAAGCCCCGCAUCAGGCUCUGCACUGUUAGUGCAGAGCCUGCUUAGGAUUCUCUUUCUCCCUCUCUUUGCCCCUCUCCUGCUCACGCUCUCUCUCUCUCUCAAAAUAAAUAAAUAAACAUUAACAGGGAGGGAAAGAAGGGAAGGGAAGAAGGAAAGGAAAGAAGGGAAGGGAAGAAAAGAAUAAAAAAGAAAAGAAAUGAAAUUGUUUUGACCUUCCAUUCUUCUGGAAGAGUUGCUGGGACCCUCAGGAGCCCAUUAGCCACACCUUUAGAAUUGCUACCCCAUUAAAUAAGACUUUGUGAAUUACUUUAAACCUAGGAAUUCUGACAGUUUAUUCUUUUUUUUUUUUUCCUAGUAGUUUAUUCUGUGGAGAGAGUAAAGCAGAGGGGAUGCCAGGCAGAGAAGUGAUUCAGUGUACUAAAUGAGAAUUGAUUGCUAAAUGUAGAGAUCUUGAGCUCUUUUGUCACAUUUGGUAGAAAGAUCUGCCAUGUUACUUAGCUCUUGUUUAUCUGCUUUCCAGCUUCCAAAAUUAUGUUGCUGUUGUCCCAUCUUCUGUUCUUCUGUUUAAGCCUCUUUUUUGAAGAAAAUUCUAUUAUUAAUGAAAUAAAACAUUGUAUUUUGUGAUAUAGAAUAUAUAGUUAUCUAUACACCAUGCAGGCCACAAAGAAUAUGAAAAUACCAUCAUUCAUAAAGUGUCACAACUGACAAUUACUCUAAAGAUGAGGAAAUAACUUUCAUCAAACUUUAUUUUCUCCAAAACUAUACAGUUAUCUUAUACAAAAUAAUACUUUGAUUCUUGUAAAUGGCUUUUUUGUCAUUACACUUAUUCUCUUUAUUUCAUGUGUCUGAUCUAAACUUACAGAGUUUAGGAUCAGACUUUUGUUGCUGGUUCUUUUGAUAGUGUUAUUUUUUUUUCCUGUUUUAUUCAUGAUUUCAUAUAUACAUUGGGGCUUACAUUACUGACAAUAGUGUAAGGUAUGUGAGUAAUGAGAAUGAACUUGAUCUGCAUUAUCUGUAUUCUGAGAAUGCUCAGGGGUUUCAUCCAGAGCUCACUGAGCCUUUAGUUAUCACUUCUUGUGGUGAGUGCUGAGGUGUGCCUUCAUAUUUAUACAUUUUUAAUGUGUCACUUAGGGAUCAGUUCUCCUUUCCCUAGUGAGCAACCUAUAUGGCCUCUAUGUAUUUUUCUGCUACUUAGUUUCUCCCAGGCAUGUGCAGUGUUCUCAAAAUGCAUGAUCAUUUUGUGAUUUAGUUUCCAUUUUUUAUGCCUCUUUUAAAAAAAAGUUUUUCCCCUUUUAGUAUAGUUUCAAGAGGGAAUGAUACUAGAUAUAUGUGCUCAAUCCAUUAUCUUAACCUAAAACCCUUAAAUAAAUUUAGAAUAACAUUUAUCUGUGAAACUUUUUCACUCUGCAUAUGGAAAUAUAAAAUAAUUCUAAUGGAGAUUUAAAAUUAUAUUUGUUCACAUAUUAUUUGUUAUGUUUUAACACAAUGCCAUGUAAUAUUUAUAUGAAAAAAGAUAUCACUAAAUGCCUUGGUAAUUUGGAACUGUUGAUGUAGGAGUUAAGAGACCUGGAUCUUAAUUUGAACUCUUUUCUCCUACCAACUUUGCUUUCCUGAACAAAGCACUUUGUCUCUCUAAAAAUCAGUUUCUUCAUAAUGGAGGCAGUAAUACCUACUUAAAGGAUUGUUGCUGCAUUUGAUCUGUCUUGAUCUAUCACAGAGCUUGACACACAGUAGCCACUAAAAAAUAUUUUUUCCUUCAGUCUCUUCUUCCUGCCCUCCCUUCCCUUUUAGUCUGCAAUUACCACAUGUAGCUUUCUAGACCUUGAAUUUUUUGCUUGAAUUAAGAUGGUUGUGAUCCCUUUAAGUAAUCCUUCUGGGGUGCCUGGGUGAGUUAAACCUCCAACUCUUGAUUUUGGCUUAGGUCAUGAUCUCAUGGUUUGUGGGUCCCAGCCCCACAUUGGGCUGCUGUACAGACAGCAGAACCUGCUUGGGAUUCUCUGUCUCCCUCUCUCUAUGCCUUUCCCUGCUUGUGCUCUCUCUCUCUCUCAAAAUAAAUGAAUAAAAAAAUUUAAAAUAAAAGUAAUCCUUCUACAACUUUAAGGAAAGUAGUGACAAAGUAUACUGUAGUUGUAGUGAAGGUAAUUGGAUAUAUAAGUCUCAAAAGAGAGAAGGCUGGAAAUGUAGAUUUGGGUAUCAGAAAAUUGAUGAUAAUUGAAACAGUAGUAGAUUGAUAAGACUGUAGGAACAUAGCGGGUUAUAUGAUAAUUUGAAAUAUAAGGCAUAUGAUACUUCAUGAUUUCUUUUUUUUUUUUAAGAUUUAUCUUUUUAGAGAGAGAGCACGAGCUGGGGAGGAAAGGGUUGGGGGCAGGGAGAGAGAGAGAGAGAGAAGAGAGAAGAAAGAGAGAGAGAGAGAGAGAGAGAGAGAUUGAUUCCUAAGCAGCCUCCACAUUCAGCGCAGAGCCCAGUGUAGGGCGUGAUCCCAUGACUCUGGGAUUAUGACCUGAGCGGAAAUCAAGAGUCAGGUGCUCAACCAACUGAACCACCCAGAUGCCCUGAUACUUGUUGAUUUCUUCUUAAAUCUCACAUUUAUGAAAGUACAAUAAUAAAUAUGUGAUGUUCAAUAGUAAUUAAAAUAAUUUACCUUGAUUUCUAUGAUAUUUAUUUAAAAUUUUGAAAAUUCACAGGUUGCAUAUGGCCAAGUUCUUGGAGUUAUAGGAUAUUCACUACUUCCUCUCAUUGUUAUAGCCCCUAUACUUUUGGUGGUUGGAUCAUUUGAAGUGGUAUCUACACUUAUAAAAGUAAGUAGUGUAUAUCAUAAAAAUUAACUAUUUUCCAAUAACAAAAGUAUACUAGUUCUCUGCCUCAGAAUAUUGUAGUCUGUACCUAUCAAACAUUUGUAAGUGUUUGGAACAGUGAUCUUAGUCAUUGAUUGUGUUUCUUUUAUUUUCUCAUUUUAAUCACCAGAAAUUAUAAUGUAUGUCUAGAGAGGAGUAAAGAACAAAGAGCAAAUCAGGGUACAGGAUAUUACACUCAGAUAAAUUUUUUAUUUAAAAAAAAAUUUUUUUUUAACGUUUAUUUAUUUUUGAGACAGAGAGAGACAGAGCAUGAACAGGGGAGGGGCAGAGAGAGAGGGAGACACAGAAUCUGAAACAGACUCCAGGCUCUGAGCUGUCAGCACAGAGCCCGAUGCGGGGCUCGAACUCACGGACCGUGAGAUCAUAACCUGAGCUGAAGUCAGACGCUUAACCGACCAAGCCACCCAGGCACCCCUCAGAUAAAUUUUUUAAUGUUGAAUUUUUCUUCUCUGUGUUUGUUUGUUUGUUUGUUUGUUUGUUAUUUUUGGUCUUUUCCAUAACCUUUAUUUAUUUUUAUUUAUUUUUAAUUUAUUUAUUGUUUAAUUUACAUCCAAGUUAGUUAGCAUAUGGUGCAACAAUGAUUUCAGGAGUAGAUUCCUUAAUGCCCCUUACCAAUUUAGACCAUCCUCUCUCCUGCAAUCCCUCCAGCAACCCUCUGUUCUCUGUAUUUGAGUCUUUUAUGUUUUGUGUCCCUCCCUGUUUUUAUAUUAUUUUUGCUUCCCUUCCCUUAUGCUCAUCUGUUUUGUAUCUUAAAUUCCUCAUAUGAGUGAGGUCAUACGAUAUUUGUGUUUCUCUGACUAAUUUUACUUCGCGUAAUACCCUCUAGUUCCAUCCCCGUAGCUGCAAAUGGCUCUUCUCUGUGUUUAUAAUACAAGUUCAUAGGACUUAGAUUUUGUGGGUGACUUAUAUUUAAGAUUUUACCAGACAUUUAUUUAAUAACUGGUACUCCUAUUUGAAUAAUAACUCCCUUAUCAAAUAUGAAAGACAUGGUUGUAAUAAAUUGGCUUUUCUAUGUUGCAGAGAUCAGCACUUCUUUAUGCUGUGUUAACUUUACAUUAACAUAAAUGCAUCUUAAACAUUUACUGAUAAUAUUAAGUAUUAAUAAGUAGUAAGAUAACCUAAAUUUUGAAUAACUUUGGGAAAUAAAUGCUUAGCACAUGUAUUUAUAUUACACAAUGAAUGUAAUUUUAUUUCUUUAUGAGAAAAUAUAGAUUUUUUUCUUUUUUUUUAAUGUUUAUUUUUGAGAGAAUGUGAGCAGGGGCGGAGGAGGGGCAGAGAGCCACUUGAAGUGGGCUCCAGUCUCCUUGCUGUCAGCACAGAGCCUGUUGCGGGGCUUGAAUUCAAUGAACCGUGAGAUCGUGACCUGAGCCGAAGUCAGACGCUUAACUGACUGAGCCACCCAGGUGCCCCAAAAAUACAGCACUUCUUAAGACUACCACUUUCAGAACUGCCAUUAUGUAGCCUUCACAUUAAAGUAUUUGUUUUUAAGUACAGCCAAUUAAUUUUUAUGACAUUUGGUUUUAUUUAAAGUCCCUUACUAAUUCUAAUAUAUGGGAGAAAAGAUUCCUUUUAGAAUUGGUUAACUACAGGGUAAUAAUGAGAUAUAAGUAUUAGGUAUUGAGAAGAGUAGAGAUUUUGGAACCAAUUAGUUCUAAAUUCAAAUUCUGGUUCUUCCACUUAUUUGCUACCCGCUUGGGGCGAUACCUUUUCUUAUCCUCCUCUGCAAAUUGGGAAUGUUGACAACUGUUUUUUAGGGUUCAUUAUCAAAAUGGUAAAGUAUUUAUGCUUGGCACAGAGAAGACACUCAAUUAGUAGUUGUUAUUACAAAUAUUAUAAAAGAAUAUUUUGAGAACAUCUUUGUAUAUUAGAACUACUUGAUCACUUUAGAGACCAAGUACCAAAUCAUUCUUCUCUCUGCCUUCUAAUCCUGAAAUCUUUUUUUUUUAAUUGGCAUUAUCAGCACUUAAUUUAAAAGUCUUACAGUACAGAAGCUAGCCCCAUUGCUGACAUGUAAUUAUCUAGCUUUAGUGAACGUACCACUUUACUGAAUCAUUCAGGAUCUUUCUUGUUUGUGUGUUGUAUUAACUUGGGUUAAAGCCUGUUUGAAUACUUCUAAGACUACUCCCAAAAUUGCUAAAACUGUGUGUCUUCUGGUCACUUUUAGUAAUCAAGUUCAAUUGAAAGUUGGUGUUUAGCAUUCUUUAUGCAAUUUAUGAAUGUAUUAUUAUGAACCAGAAAGUCUUUUGUCAUUAAUAUUUUAGGAUACAAUUGUUUUAAAGUUCAGAUUUUUCUUUCCCCAGUUUUUUUUCCUAAUUGUUUAAUCUUCUGUUUGUAGUGAGCCAUUGUAUGUUUGUUUCCAAGUCCAAGAUUUAUGGAGAAAUAUGUUGCAAAACUCUUAUCAUUUAAAGCUCAUUAGAAUACAGUUUAAUCUACAAGCAUUAUUUUUUUAACAUUAAAUCUCUGUAAUUCUUACCAAUCUUUAACUAUUUACUUAUAACAAAAAAAAAAUGUAUGGCAUACAAAUGCAAUUUGAUCAUAAUCUUAUUUCAUAUAUUUCCCUAUACUUUUCUGAAAGUCUAAAAUAUUUUGUAGCUUUUUGUUUUAGUUUAAAAAGAACAGUAGAAAACCGGACCAUCUCAAAUACAUUUUCAGGCUGUCGGUAUUUAUUUUUGACCUCUCUACCAGUGGUUCUCAAGGACGAUUUUGCCUCCCAAGGACAUUUGGCAAUGUCUGGAGACAUAUGUGGUGUCACAAACGAUGUUGGGAGUGGAAUCUUACUAGUAUGUCAUGGGUCGAGGGCAGGGAUUCUGCUAAAAAUCCUGUCAUGCACAGGACAGCUUCCCAUAACAAUUAUCCAGCUCCAAAAUGUCAGUAGUACAAGGUUGAGAUAUCCUGCCCUGUGCCAAGUCCUUUUCUGUCAUAGUUUCUCUGAUUUCUACCCUUGAAGUUCUUCCUUUAAUUUUAUUCUAUAAAAUGCCGUUUGCAACUACAUCAGUAAGUGUUCUAUAAGUUUCCAGUGGAAAUAACUUAAAAUUUGGUACACGUAUAAUCUGAAAACCACAGUACAUUGUAUUAAACUCUUGACCAAACUGUUACUUUUUUUCUCCUUUUUAUUUAACCCCAUACUUUUACCUAUUUCUGGGAAAAUGCUGUUCUAUUUCAUAAACAUUGUGUAAAAUUUUCGCUUAGUCUGUUUUCCUACUUCUUAGAAGAAAAAACAGGAAAAAGUUUAUAAUGAAAUUAAUUUUCUUUCAGCACAUUUCUUUCAGUUGGCCAAAUUUCUUUCAGUUAGCCAAAACUUGCCUUAUCUUAAAUCACCAGGGACACUGUUAAAAAGACUAAUUAACAAAACCCUUCCCUGACGAGAUUUUGAUUUAGCAAGCUAGAGUGAAUCCCCGGAUUCUCUUUUUAAUAGGCACUCCGAGUCAUUCCUAGGAUUAGACAAGUGUGAUAACAAAAGACUUCAUUUGCAUACGUCAAGGAACAAAGCAAGGAUAAACAUUCUUAAUAAUAAUCUUAAACAUUAAGUUUUACUGUUUACCACAAUUGGUUGUCAGGGUUGUUUUAAGAAACUAUUGUGAAUGUUAUUUUACUGUCUGAUACCCAGAAUGUUAAUUGACUUGCUAAUAUGCUGCCUUUUGUCUUUUUUGUUUGUUUUUUUAAAGCUGUUUGGUGUGUUUUGGGCUGCCUACAGUGCUGCUUCAUUGUUAGUGGGUGAAGAAUUCAAGACCAAAAAGCCUCUCCUGAUUUAUCCAAUCUUUUUACUAUACAUUUAUUUUUUGUCCUUAUACACUGGGGUGUGAUCUAAGUCAUAUAUGAGUAGAAAAAGACAUGUUACAUUUGUGUGUGUAGGCUGGGAACUCUUGCUAAGGGGAUUGAAGAAAUCCUGUUGCUGGUAAAAUUUUACAUGUUCCACAUGUAAAGGCAGGUUGAAAGUCUUUUUAAAACAACAUUUUUUUGUAUUUAAUUAUUUGCAGUUAUCUGGAUUUUUUUUGGUCAGAAUUCCGAAUUCUGUUUGAUUCUUCAUGUUCCAGUGAAUAAAAUUUAAAAGCAUUGUGUUUUUAAGAUUGUGUCAAUAUUCACCUAAAAACUUGUGCCAAAAGCACCUGGAAUGGUAAUUAUAUUUCAUUCAAAGGGUAAAUAUGGCAGCAUCCUAAUAAUCUAAAAGCGCAAUUUUUUCUUUAAAGGGUUUUCUCCUGCAUUGCAGAUCCUGUAGAUAUAUAUUUAUAUUUAUACGUAUAUAUUUAUGAAAUUAUUCUUUUUAUUCACAAAAUAUAUUUCUGAAUAGCCUAAAAAUUGAGAUAUUUUCAAUCUGAUGCUUAACCUUUCUUUAAUUUGGCCAUUAAUCUUUUAUUUAUAAAUUCAGAUUUGUUUUUUAAAUUGUGUAUAAUUUUAAAAAUCUCAUACAUGCUUCAGUAUGUCCUUGUUAAGAGUCCUAAUAACAACUAAAACUAAUUUUUUAACAGUUGCUGCUGUAGAUUUGGUUUGCUUGGGUAUGCUUUGAAAAACUAUUUUUGAAUGCCUAAAUAUCUGAUUUCAGUUUAUGUUUAUCUUUCUGACCAAAGGAGCAGGAGGUAUAAUGGAUAUGGCAUUAUUAAAAUUGUCAAUAUGUAGAGAAAUAGUAAUAUUUAUAGCAUCAGAAAUAUUUUUAAGUGGUACUCCUAAGUCAUAAAAGUUGCUGGAAAGAGACCUUUAAAAUCUUGUGGUCUUGAAUAAUGUUAUAUGAAGUAGAAAAAAAUAAAAUGCUUCCCAGCUGUGUGUUUUGUUUUAUAACACCUUGUCCUGUAUUACUAAACAAGCAUCAGGUACUCUAACAAAUGUACAGUAUUUGCUAAGGGAAAUAUUAAGAAAUUUUAGUGAAAUUUUUGUUGCAAAUUAUUUCAUAUACCCUGGUGUAUACUUUAGUUAAUAUAACUUUGUAAAGUAGAUUAAAUAUUUUAUUUAUGUCCAUAAAACAGCAAAUGCCUGGUAACUAUCAGCAAAUUAUAUUAUCCUUUCUGGUCUCAGCUGGAAGAGUUAACUGCUGUCCUCAAUAUGAUACCAUUCCUUUAACAACUUUAUGCAUCAGGAAAUAUCUAGCAACUCUGAAGUCUUCAAAGUACCAAACCCAUCUCUCCUCCUUUCACUAAAAAAGAAAGGGAAAAAAAAAAAAAAAGGAAAAAUUUAUUUUAAGCUACAGGAAAAGGGUGGAGCUAUCUUUGAGCCAGAAUAAUGUGAAGAUUACAUAUGCUAAUUUUUAAAAACAAGCUUAGGACAAUAGAUUGAAGCACCAGAGGGACAGAAUUUCUGGAACCUAAAAUAAUAUGAAGUUGUGAGGAAGGAUCAAUAGCUACAGAAGUAGCAACUGUAAAAUAAACAUUUGUCACACAUAAGAAAUUCCUGAGGUCACUACUUUGUUACAGUCAAUUAUUAUAUUUCAUAUUCAUAGUGUUGACCCUGAAUCUUCCCCCAAGAAAUUUGGGGGUUGGUCCCAGGGGGUAGAAUUUUACUAAGCAGUACAUUAAACCAUUUUGGGACCCAUUCUAUCAAAAACUGGUUUAAUUUUUUUAACCUAUCAGUUCUUUAAGAUGUGAAUGAAAAGUUUACAUAUUGUAUUGUGUUUAUUCCCUAAUGAUGAAGAUAAAAUGAGGUAUUGAUGUUCUAAAAAGGUGUUUAAAAAUAACAACAUUUAAUCAUGAGAACUUCCGCUCUUUAGGGUAUAUGUAGGUACUAUUUAUCAUGUUUCAAGGUCAACCAAAAUACUCAUGGGCUAAUGAGCAAAGUAGUUAAAACAGAUUGUCAGUUUGGAAAUGUAAUUUGUAAAUUUGUACAAGAGACAUUACUGCUAACAAUGAUAAGCUGACCGUGAUAAUGUCCUUUCCUUGAAUUUUUAUAUAAUAUUUUCUAAGUCAUACUGAUUUUAAAUCAUGAUUCCAACUUAAUUAUUAGUUCAUUAGUAUUUUUAAAACAGAACUCGCCAGAUAGUCUCUUCUAGUUGUGUGUGUGCACGCGUGUGUGUUUUCAGUUGUAGCAAUUGUGAUGAAUGUUAAUCCUCAAGAGGAGAAUUAUGAGUAAAUUAUAUUUACUUAUAUUUCAAAUUGAUUGUAAAAUAAUUGAAAUUUGGAUUAAAAAUCAAAAUCUCUUUAUAAUUUUCAUUGUAUUAGAAAACAGUUUAGGAAGAUUUGUAAAGUUUUAUGAACCAUUAUUAAACUUGCUUAUUUCCAAGGUCUAUAAGACAGUUUUAUAUAAUGGUGUGUGUUUCCAAAAAAUUCCCCAAAUAUUAAAAUGCUAAUAUAGAGUUCUAAAUUAGUGAAAAUUCGCGUUGACUGAAAAUAAUGAGGUAGAUAUUUUUGUUUAUUGUUUAAAAUUCAGUCAAUUUAUUUUUUAAAAUUACAUUGUACUUAAACAUUGAAUAAAAUAAUGCUUCUACAACCUAAUAAAAACAGAAUAUUUUUCAUAUUGAGCAAAACUAAUUGAAUAUUUUAAGAUGAUUGUUAUUUAUUUAUCUUUU